CUAAGGGCGGUAGGGAAAGGAGAUGUAGCCCUUGAGAGGUGCCAGAAUGAUGGCCACUGGUGAUAAGAGGGAAGGUGAUGGCGAUGAGGAAGAUAAUGGCUAAUAUUUCAGGUUGUUCUACAGGAGAUGGUGUGUUUAUUACUACGCUGUAAAAUUUGGCAGAGAAACUGUUAUCCCUGGAAUGAGGUGUAAACUGAAAAAUCCUGCAUUUAUGGUGAAAAAAUGGGCACAGUAUGCCUGAAAUUACCUGCAUAGCUGGGAGAGAGGAAUAAGGCCGAACACCUCUGCACUCUGCCUGUUCUCAGCUACUUGUUGGCCAUUACAAUGUGGUGUAAAUUGUUCUAGUUUACACAGGGACCAGAAUGAUUGCCAGCCAGCUCCAAAACCUGAGAAGCCACAAAGGAAAUCUCCAGAAUCCAUGGAAUGCAGAACUUGCUCCCUACCCUUAAACUGCACUGAGAUUAACUCAGAAUUUUGAGUUUGUCUGUAACUUCUUAAAAACCCUUCAGUAAAUGUACUUGGUCCAAAUAUAGCACAUCUGACAAAGUAGAAAGCUGAUUCUGCGAACCAUUAUUUGUAUGAGUAAGGGUAUUCAGGAUCAGGCCCCAAAAAUGAAAAGAAAAUAAAAGAAAAUUUGGAGAUUAGUAUCACUACAGGGACAGGUUCUGGAUUGUUUGGGUGUUUUAACUGUGCAUUUCC